GUCCUGUGCAUCUUGCUUCUGUCGUUUCUACCUGUUUCCCUCUCUGCCCAUCUAGUAUCAACUAAUGGCAGUGGUUGAUGGCAAACUGGAGGGGACGACUGUGCCUUCCUGGCAGAUGCUAGGAGGUCAUCAGCUAAUUCACGAUGGCUCAAUGAGACGGGAUCGAAUUUUGUUGAAUGGCGGUACUGGCUGGGGCCACCCCGUUCCCAUCAACUCAGCGCGGAAAACCAUAUGAGGAAAGCCUGGCAAUUGAUAUUCUCAACCGGAAAAGAGUGAAUGUACCGGUGGAGUGAAUCCGUGGUAGAUGCUUUUCAUGUCCUGGCUGAUAUAGUUUGAUGUGCUCCAUGGAGAGGGUAUAAACUGUUGGAUGAUGUACUAUAGUACUAGAAGUACAUUACUUGGACCCAUGACUGCCAUCACUUAUCUGUUCUUGUAACGAGAUGUUCUAGCAACUUAUAAGCAAACUUUAUUUAUUUGACCUUUGAGGACUGAUCUUAAAUGUGAAAA